rnacentral:rRNA from 1 species
GACGUAGGGCGCGAGCGUUGUCCGGAUUUAUUGGGCGUAAAGAGCUCGUAGGCGGCUUGUCGCGUCGACUGUGAAAACCCGCGGCUCAACUGCGGGCCUGCAGCCGAUACGGGCAGGCUAGAGUUCGGUAGGGGAGACUGGAAUUCCUGGUGUAGCGGUGAAAUGCGCAGAUAUCAGGAGGAACACCUGAGGUGAAGACGGGUUGCUGGGCCGACACUGACGCUGAGUGCGCGAAAGCCAGGGGAGCAAACGGG